UGAACUAUUGACUAAUAGGAAAGUCAUCUAGAUUUGGUCUAGACUAUAUACGUUCGAAUCGUAUUAGUUCAG
rnacentral:tRNA from 1 species